UGUAGCUCGGCAGUAGAGCACUUGCCUGGUAUGCACAAAGCCCUGGGUUUGAGUCCCAGCA
rnacentral:tRNA from 1 species